rnacentral:rRNA from 1 species
UGAGUAACCUGCCCUUCACUCUGGGAUAACUCCGGGAAACCGGGGCUAAUACUGGAUAUGACUCGAACAGGCAUCUGUUUCGGGUGGAAAGAUUUAUUGGUGGAGGAUGGACUCGCGGCCUAUCAGCUUGUUGGUGAGGUAAUGGCUCACCAAGGCGACGACGGGUAGCCGGCCUGAGAGGGCGAUCGGCCACACUGGGACUGAGACACGGCCCAGACUCCGUACGGGGAGCA